rnacentral:rRNA from 1 species
AGCAGUAGCCGCGGUAACACGAAGGGGGCUAGCGUUGUUCGGAUUUACUGGGCGUAAAGCGCACGUAGGCGGACUUUUAAGUCAGGGGUGAAAUCCCGGGGCUCAACCCCGGAACUGCCUUUGAUACUGGAAGUCUUGAGUAUGGUAGAGGUGAGUGGAAUUCCGAGUGUAGAGGUGAAAUUCGUAGAUAUUCGGAGGAACACCAGUGGCGAAGGCGGCUCACUGGACCAUUACUGACGCUGAGGUGCGAAAGCGUGGGGAGCAAACAGGAUUAGAUACCCCAGUAGUCCCUGUCUCUUAUAA